GAUGAACGCUAGCGGCAGGCCUAACACAUGCAAGUCGAGGGGUAGAACACUUCGGUGUUUGAGACCGGCGCACGGGUGCGUAACGCGUAUACAAUCUGCCUUUUACAGAGGGAUAGCCCGAAGAAAUUUGGAUUAAUACCUCAUAGUAUUAUGAUGUGGCAUCACAUUAUGAUUAAAGAUUUAUCGGUAAAAGAUGAGUAUGCGUCCCAUUAGCUAGAUGGUAAGGUAACGGCUUACCAUGGCAACGAUGGGUAGGGGUCCUGAGAGGGAGAUCCCCCACACUGGUACUGAGACACGGGCCAGACUCCUACGGGAGGCAGCAGUGAGGAAUAUUGGUCAAUGGUCGCAAGACUGAACCAGCCAUGCCGCGUGCAGGAUGACGCAUCUAUGGUGUGUAAACUGCUUUUGUACGGGAAGAAACCACUCUACGUGUAGAGUCUUGACGGUACCGUAAGAAUAAGGAUCGGCUAACUCCGUGCCAGCCGCCGCCGUAACAC
rnacentral:rRNA from 1 species